GUCCUACUCUUCCUUGCUCGAUCUUAAGUGCAAUCUGCAACAAGGGAUGGAGGGAAAUCCUAUUGCUGAAAUCAUCCAACCCAUCGAUAUGAUGAAGUUGAGAAUUCAAUUGGGUCUGGGAUCAGCUGGACAAGUUGCCAGGACCAUGAUCAAGGAGGAGGGUUUUGGUUCAUUGUAUAAGG